AUGGAGGUGGUAAGCGCGAUCGUCAAGGUGGUGCAGGAGAUAGCAAAGGCGGUGGAGACGGACCGGGAGAACAGUGAGAGCUGCCUUGACCUCGCCGACCGCGCGCGCACCGUCGGCGACAUCAUCCACCACCUCGACUCCUCCACGGCGAGCACGAGGAGCAGCGGCAGCGGCCGCACGGUGAUGAUAAGAGAGCCCUCGCUGAAGAGGCUGAAGGCCGCGCUCAACGACGCGCUCAAGCUCGUCGAGUCCCAGCAGCCGAGCGGCUUCCUUGGCGGCCAUGUCAACAGGCUGAUCAACAGCGGCACGACGGCCGACAGAUUCCAACGUGUCGAGGCGAGGAUCAACGCCUGCGUCAACGACGUCGGCCUGGCGGAGCAGUUCGCCGCUCGCCAUCGUGCCCUCCGUGCCAACAGGAGGACCGUCUCGGCACCCUCCCUUGCUCCGGAGCGUCACCACCAGAGCUCGCAAUCUGCGCCGCCGCCCUCGCAGCACCAGCAACGCUUCCUGUCCACACUGGGGUCGUCACAGCAGCACGAGAGCUCGCGGCCCACGACGUCGCCGUUGCAGCAACGCCGGAGCCCACGACUGUCGCAGCAGAACCAGAGCUUCCAGUCCGAGGAGUGGUCGACCCAGCAGCAACGGAGCUCGCACACGACGCCCCCGUCACAGCAGCACCAGAACAUGCGGCAACACCAGCAGCAGCGGAGGCUCCAGUCGGGGGAGUCGUCGUCGCAACAGCAACAGAACUCGCAGUCCGCGGUGCGAUCACCGCAGCAGGGUCGUAGCAGGCGGCAACACCUGGACUCUCAGCCCGCAGCCCCGCACCACUACCGUCGCAGGUCCGCACUAACACCUAAUCAAGCGCGCGAGCUUGCAUCAGCAAUUAGCUCGCAGCCCGCACCACCACCGCGCGGGGCCGGGGCAGCAGCACCAUAA
rnacentral:rRNA from 1 species